AGUGAACGCUGGCGGUAGGCCUAACACAUGCAAGUCGAACGGCAGCACAGAGGAGCUUGCUCCUUGGGUGGCGAGUGGCGGACGGGUGAGGAAUACAUCGGAAUCUACUCUGUCGUGGGGGAUAACGUAGGGAAACUUACGCUAAUACCGCAUACGACCUACGGGUGAAAGCAGGGGAUCUUCGGACCUUGCGCGAUUGAAUGAGCCGAUGUCGGAUUAGCUAGUUGGCGGGGUAAAGGCCCACCAAGGCGACGAUCCGUAGCUGGUCUGAGAGGGUGAUCAGCCACACUGGAGCUGAGACACGGUCCAGACUCCUACGGGAGGCAGCAGUGGGGAAUAUUGGACAAUGGGCGCAAGCCUGAUUCAGCCAUACCGCGUGGGUGAAGAAGGCCUUCGGGUUGUAAAGCCCUUUUGUUGGGAAAGAAAUCCAUCUGGUUAAUACCCGGGUGGGAUGACGGUACCCAAAGAAUAAGCACCGGCUAACUUCGUGCCAGCCGCCGCAGUAA
rnacentral:rRNA from 1 species